CCUACGGGAGGCAGCAGUGGGGAAUCUUGCGCAAUGGGCGAAAGCCUGACGCAGCCAUGCCGCGUGAAUGAUGAAGGUCUUAGGAUUGUAAAAUUCUUUCACCGGGGACGAUAAUGACGGUACCCGGAGAAGAAGCCCCGGCUAACUUCGUGCCAGCAGCCGCGGUAAUACGAAGGGGGCUAGCGUUGCUCGGAAUUACUGGGCGUAAAGGGAGCGUAGGCGGACAUUUAAGUCAGGGGUGAAAUCCCAGAGCUCAACUCUGGAACUGCCUUUGAUACUGGGUGUCUUGAGUGUGAUAGAGGUAUGUGGAACUCCGAGUGUAGAGGUGAAAUUCGUAGAUAUUCGGAAGAACACCAGUGGCGAAGGCGACAUACUGGAUCAUUACUGACGCUGAGGCUCGAAAGCGUGGGGAGCAAACAGGAUUAGAUACCCUGGUAGUCCACGCCGUAAACGAUGAUUGCUAGUUGUCGGGAUGUUUACAUCUCGGUGACGCAGCUAACGCAUUAAGCAAUCCGCCUGGGGAGUACGGUCGCAAGAUUAAAACUUAAAGAAUAGAG
rnacentral:rRNA from 1 species